rnacentral:lncRNA from 1 species
AUUUAAUCACUAAGUAUGGGAGUGGAUGCCUACAGCCCCCUGAGGAGGUCAGAGGACUACUUAAGAGCCAGCUUUUCCUUUCAACCUGUAGUUCCAAGGAGCUGAAUCAAGUUGCCAGGCAAGCAACCAGGGCCCUUUACCUGCUGGGCCAUCUUGCCAAGGCCUAUUUUUGAGAGGACGUCUCUCAGGUUGCCAGACUGGCUUUGAACUCACUAUGUAGCCUAUGUCAGUGGCCUUGAACUCUUAAUCAUCCUGCUUCCACCUCUCAAAGGCCUGGAAUAAUAUCUGUGAGCCACCACACUGGGCAUUUAACUUUUAACUUAAAAUACCGAAAGAAUUGGCUUAAGCGAACAGUCAAGGGGACUGUUAUGUAUUAUGUCUGUAUUAUGUCACCAAAAGUACAUACAGCCACUGAUUUAAAAAACAAAAACAAAAAGCACAUUAUCUAAACGAACUUAGAAAACACAGAACUCGAGUCCAAAGUGAAAAUUUCAUAAACCAACCCAGAAUGAGAAACUAGGGAGGCUAGUAACUUUGGGUAAAUUGUUGCUACUCAACUUAUUGUCAAAUGUACAAAAGAGAUACAAGUGUUGCUUGCUCUUUAUCUGAAGUUUACUUGAAUUCUAUUGUGAAACUAAAUAAUUUUAUAGGACAUUGAAUUCUCUCUUCAAAGUGUAACAAGUCCUGAGCUUCACUGCUAACAAUUUUUCCCAAGCUACAGGACACAACUUAGACAACUUAGAUCAUCACCACGCCCAACCUAAAAGCAACUUUGCAGACACAGAAAGCUCUCCCCCAGAGCCGCUGUUAUACUCGAAACCUACUAAUUAUGGUUAACACCACCAGAAAUAACCCAUUAGGCGCUUGCUUAGUAAGUGCCAUCAGCUUUAAGAAUAUCUGGUGCCAUAUGUCUUAGUAAAGUGCAACACAGACUCCAACAUUACAAUCUUGAACCUAACUGGGUUGCGUUCUGACACGACCUUUACUGUGGAAAGACUCAAGAACUAAAAGCAAAGGAGCUUGCGACCCCAACUACCUCCUUCCAUCAACGAAUCCCGCUUAAUCCUUCAUGCCUGCACUUUUCCGUUGUAAACAGGAAACUCCAGAGAAAAGGAAACGGAGAAAAUCCUAUUUGUGCUUUUAUAAGAGGAAUAACGGCAGCGCUCUCCAACCCCCACGAUGUGAUUGAACAAAUGAAAAAAGCAACGGGAGGAAGUGACGGGGGUGGGCUGCUGGUGAGCUCACUUGGAAGUUCCAAACAUGCCACCCAGCUCAGGGGUGCCCCCAAACAUCUGUACCAACAGCUGCAGCGGCCAUGGCUCCGCCUCCUCCGCCGCGCUCCCCUCACCGCCGCCGCCACGACCCCGCGCUGCGCUCCGGCUCCCGGCUCCCGGCUCCCGGCGCCCUGGCCCCGUGUGGCGUAGCUCGGACGACGCCGCCGCCGCCGCCUCUCCUCCCCGCCCCCACGCCGCUUUC